rnacentral:rRNA from 1 species
UACGUAGGGUGCAAGCGUUGUCCGGAAUUAUUGGGCGUAAAGAGCUCGUAGGCGGUUUGUCGCGUCGAAUGUGAAAACCCGGGGCUCAACUCCGGGCCUGCAUUCGAUACGGGCAGACUAGAGUUCGGUAGGGGAGACUGGAAUUCCUGGUGUAGCGGUGAAAUGCGCAGAUAUCGGGAGGAACACCAGUAGCGAAGGCGGCACUCUGGGCCGGUACUGACGCUGAGGAGCGAAAGCGUGGGGAGCGAACAGG